UAGGUCUCAGUUCAGAUUGCAGGCUGCAACCCGCCUGCAUGAAGUCGGAAUUGCUAGUAAUCGCGGAUCAGCAUGCCGCGGUGAAUACGUUCCCGGGCCUUGUACACACCGCCCGUCACACCAUAGGAGCCGGUAAUACCCGAAGUCAGUAGUCCAACCUCGUGAGGACGCUGCCGAAGGUAGGAUUGGCGACUGGGGUGAAGUCGUAACAAGGUAAC
rnacentral:rRNA from 1 species